CCUCUGAAAGUGACCCCUGAAAUUCCCUUUGUUCUGAAAGGAUGGGUGGAUAACUACACAGCAACUUCAUCGGCAAGUGUCAGGGCCACACUGGGAAUCAUACCUAGCCGAGGUCUUCCCGCCUCAGUAUCCUGGGUUCUAAGAGGAACAUCACUUCAGUGCAGAUGUGUUGACAGUACAGGACUGUCAAGGACACACAGAUCAGAGUGCAGAGGGCAGAGCUACCUGCUCCUGCUUUCUCCUUCUAUCCCUUCUAGGGAAGUUCACAAUUUCCUCUCCUGGGACCAAAGCGCAGAUCUCUCACUGCUAAAAGGAUCCUGUUACAGUGAACUUAACAUCAUUGAUACCAGUCUCUCUCAAUGAUGUUUGCUUGAAAGUACUUUUUAUCAGAAGCAACAGCUCAUCCAGAGAUCCAGGCAACUUCUGGGAGAUAAGACUGCUGUCAUUCCCUCUCUGGGGCAGCUCUACAGGGAACAGAAAGAAGAGUAAACCUAUAGUAAAUGAAAGUAAGUCACUGAAGAAGACAGAAGGACCAUUCCCACCAGCAUAGACAAACAUCACGCACUUUUUCAU
ensembl:lncRNA